rnacentral:lncRNA from 1 species
UUGCUUCUUAUCUUAUCUUUCCAGCUGGCAUUGUGUCUUCUUUUAUUCUAGAUGUACUUCUGGAAUAAUGUUAUCUUCUCCAUUACAUCUUGAACAUUGGUGAUCUGGAUAUUUGUGUCCGAUUAUUUUACAAUAUCUUGUCAGUAGUCCGUCUGAAAUAAAUCCUUUUUUAAUUGCUCUUUCGGUAGAUUGUUUUUCUGGGUUAAGUAAUGUCAUUAUCCAUUGUCUGACAUCUUCCAUAUCUGCUUGUCGUAGCUCUUUUGAAUUA